GGAAGGAAGGAAGGAAGGAAGGAAGGAAGGAAGGAAGGAAGGAAGGAAGGAAGGAAGGAAGAGAGAGACAAACAGACCGAGACAGAAAGAGAAGCCACAGGUCCUUUUCAAAAAGUACCUGUUAGAACUGGGCAAGAUUUCCAGUCUUCCCUUGGAUAACAACAACUCUCAUUUCUAAGCUUUUAAUUUCUUUUUUUCUCUUUUUCCCCUCAUUUUUUCCAUUUCUAUGCUUUAAUGUUUAUGAAGCACAUUCUUAAUCACAACCGUGUAAGAUCAUCAGGUACAGGUAUUGUUAUCACCAUUUUGGAGAUGAGGAUCCUAAGGCUGAGAGAAAUAAAAUAUAAUAGAACUUAAAGCCAGAAAGGAUCUUAGAAACUGUUUAGUCAAGUCAGUCAAUAAGCAUUUAUUGAGCACUUACAAUGUGCCAGGCAUUGUACUAAGCCCUGGAGAUACAAAGAGGCAAAUGACAGUUGUUGGUUUUGAUGGGCUGGCUCACAGUAUAAUGCAGAGGUCCUCAAACUAUGGCCCACAGCCAGAUGCAGCAGCUGAGGACGAUUAUCCCCCUCACCCAGGGCUAUGAAGUUUCUUUAUUUAAAAGUCCACAAAACAAAAUUUUUAUUUUUACUAUAGUCCGGCCCUCCAACAGUCUGAGGGACGUGAACUGGCCCCCUAUUUAAAAAAUUUGAGGACCCCUGAUUUUGAGGGAGACAAUAUUUAAAAAAGAAAAAAGUAUAAAUAAGCUACUUACAGGGUAUUUAGAAAAGAAGAGAGGGACGGUGCUAGUAUUAGUCCAGACAUCCUUUAUCUGGAGUCCAUGGACACCCAAGGAGUUUAUGGGGAGAUUUCAAGGAGUCCGUGAACUUGGAACUUGGAACUUUUCCUAUUUUGACAACUAUAUUCCAGUAUCAUCUGUUUCCUUGCUAAUCCUGUGUAUUUUAUUUUAUGCAUUUAAAAACAUGGUUUUGAGAAAAGAUCUAGGGAUCCCUCUGAGAAGAUGGGAUUCACCAGCUGGCCAAAGGAUCCCUGGUCUAAUCCAAACUUUUUGUUUUAUAGAUGAGAAAGCAGGCCGAGGCAGUUAACAGUGACUUGCCCAGGAUUACACACUGCAGCAGGGGCACAUGGCUGAUGGCAGGCGUCCUCCGGCUCCCCAAGGAAGAGCUCACAGUUGAAAAGCAACGAUGGCAGUCAGCCCAAGAGAACCAGAAGACUGGGAACAUCCUGUUUUUGAAGAGGAUCCCAUCACUUUCACUUCCUCCAAUGACAGGGAAGGGGAGGCGGGACCUGGCAAAGGCAGCCGAUGUGGUCAUAGCUGGGUAAAAAAAAAAAAAAAAAAAAAAAACAGCAAAAAGAAAUAGAUUGGAAAAGAAAUGGCAGUCUUUCCCUUUCUGACAAGCAAACGACUCCUUUCCCCCUCCUUUCUCACCCAACUCCACCCCCAGAAGUCUGCACAAAGAUGGUGUUCAGGGGAAGGGCAUUUUUGAAAUUCCCUCAUUCUGCUUUGACCUCAUAGUGUUAAUAGUGCGAUUCAUUUCUGUCUGAAUAAAGGGGAAGCAUUUUAAAUGUCA